rnacentral:rRNA from 1 species
CCCAGACUCUACGGGAGGCAGCAGUGGGGWDUAUUGCGCAAUGGACGAAAGUCUGACGCAGCGACGCCGCGUGGAGGAUGAAGGUUUUCGGAUUSUAAAUSCCUGUCAAGAGGGAAGAAACCUAUUAAGAAUAAUACUCUUAGUAAUUGACGGUACCUCUAGAGGAAGCACCGGCUAAUUCAGUGCCAGCAGCCGCGGUAAUACUGAAGGUGCAAGCGUUAAUCGGAAUCACUGGGCGUAAAGACGACUCGUAGGUGGCUUUGUAAGUCAGAUGUGAAAGCCCACGGKUCAACCGUGGAAUUGCAUUUGAUACUGCAUCGCUAGAGUAUAGGAGAGGGAAGUGGAAUUUCUGGUGUAGGAGUGAAAUCCGUAGAGAUCAGAAGGAACACCGGUGGCGAAGGCGACUUCCUGGACUAUWACUGASACUGAGGAGCGAAAGCGUGGGGWGUAAACAGGAUUAGAUASCCUGGUAGUCCACGCSGUAAACGAUGGGUACUAAGUGUAGGAGGCUUGACUUCGGUGCUGUAGUUAACGCGUUAAGUA